rnacentral:rRNA from 1 species
UGAACGCUGGCGGCAGGCCUAACACAUGCAAGUCGAACGGUAACAGGAAGAAGCUUGCUUCUUUGCUGACGAGUGGCGGACGGGUGAGUAAUGUCUGGGAAACUGCCUGAUGGAGGGGGAUAACUACUGGAAACGGUAGCUAAUACCGCAUAACGUCGCAAGACCAAAGAGGGGGACCUUCGGGCCUCUUGCCAUCGGAUGUGCCCAGAUGGGAUUAGCUAGUAGGUGGGGUAACGGCUCACCUAGGCGACGAUCCCUAGCUGGUCUGAGAGGAUGACCAGCCACACUGGAACUGAGACACGGUCCAGACUCCUACGGGAGGCAGCAGUGGGGAAUAUUGCACAAUGGGCGCAAGCCUGAUGCAGCCAUGCCGCGUGUAUGAAGAAGGCCUUCGGGUUGUAAAGUACUUUCAGCGGGGAGGAAGGGAGUAAAGUUAAUACCUUGGCUCAUUGACGUUACCCGCAGAAGAAGCACCGGCUAACUCCGUG